rnacentral:rRNA from 1 species
GUAGGGAAUAUUGGGCAAUGGUCGGAAGACUGACCCAGCCAUGCCGCGUGCAGGAAGACGGCCCUCUGGGUUGUAAACUGCUUUUAUCUGGGAAGAAAAAGGCCAUGCGUGGCAAAUUGCCGGUACCAGAUGAAUAAGCACCGGCUAACUCCGUGCCAGCAGCCGCGGUAAUACGGAGGGUGCGAGCGUUGUCCGGAUUUAUUGGGUUUAAAGGGUGCGUAGGCGGCUGAUUAAGUCAGCGGUGAAAGACUUCGGCUUAACCGGAGCAGGGCCUUUGAUACUGGUUGGCUUGAGUGUCGGAGGGGUACAUGGAAUUGAUGGUGUAGCGGUGAAAUGCAUAGAUACCAUCAGGAACACCGAUAGCGAAGGCAUUGUACUGGCCGACAACUGACGCUGAUGCACGAAAGUGUGGGGAUCGAACAGGAUUAGAAACCCGAGUAGUCC